rnacentral:rRNA from 1 species
CAAAGGUGAGCCAGUACAGGAUGGACCCGCGUCUGAUUAGCUAGUUGGUAAGGUAACGGCUUACCAAGGCGACGAUCAGUAGCCGACCUGAGAGGGUGAUCGGCCACAUUGGAACUGAGACACGGUCCAAACUCCUACGGGAGGCAGCAGUGGGGAAUAUUGCACAAUGGGCGAAAGCCUGAUGCAGCAACGCCGCGUGAGUGAUGAAGGCCUUCGGGUCGUAAAACCCUGUCCUCAAGGAAGAUAAUGACGGUACUUGAGGAGGAAGCCCCGGCUAACUACGUGCCAGCAGCCGCGGUAAUACGUAGGGGGCUAGCGUUAUCCGGAUUUACUGGGCGUAAAGGGUGCGUAGGCGGUCUUUCAAGUCAGGAGUGAAAGGCUACGGCUCAACCGUAGUAAGCUCUUGAAACUGGGAGACUUGAGUGCAGGAGAGGAGAGUGGAAUUCCUAGUGUAGCGGUGAAAUGCGUAGAUAUUAGGAGGAACACCAGUUGCGAAGGCGGCUCUCUGGACUGUAACUGACGCUGAGGCACGAAAGCGUGGGGAGCAAACAGGAUUAGAUACCCUGGUAGUCCACGCUGUAAACGAUGAGUACUAGGUGUCGGGGGUUACCC